rfam:Ictidomys tridecemlineatus contig070941, whole genome shotgun sequence.
AGGGAUAUAGCUUAGUUGGUAGAGUGCUUGCCUUGCAUGCACAGGGUCCUGGGUUCAAUCCCCAGUACCACCA